ACGGAGGGUGCGAGCGUUGUCCGGAAUCACUGGGCGUAAAGGGCGCGUAGGUGGCGCGAGAAGUCAACGGUGAAAGCUCGUCGCUUAACGACGAGUCGGCCGUCGAUACUCUUGUGCUCGAGCACUGUAGAGGCAGAUGGAAUUCCGGGUGUAGUGGUGGAAUGCGUAGAGAUCCGGAGGAACACCAGCGGCGAAGGCGGCAUCCUGGACUGGUACUGACGCUCAUGAGCGAAAGCGUGGGGAGCGAUCCGGA
rnacentral:rRNA from 1 species